rnacentral:rRNA from 1 species
GUAGGUGGCAAGCGUUGUCCGGAAUUAUUGGGCGUAAAGCGCGCGCAGGCGGUUCUUUAAGUCUGAUGUGAAAGCCCACGGCUCAACCGUGGAGGGUCAUUGGAAACUGGAGAACUUGAGUACAGAAGAGGAAAGCGGAAUUCCACGUGUAGCGGUGAAAUGCGUAGAGAUGUGGAGGAACACCAGUGGCGAAGGCGGCUUUUCUGGUCUGUAACUGACGCUGAGGCGCGAAAGCGUGGGGAGCAAACAGGGAUUAGAUACCCUGGUAGUCCACGCCGUAAACGAUGAGUGCUAAGUGUUAGGGGGGUUUCCGCCCCCUUAGUGCUGCAGCUAGCGCAUUAAGCACUCCGCCUGGGAGUACGGCCGCAAGGCUG